ACAGANUGGAUAACACCUGGAAACAGAUGCUAAUACCGGAUAACAACAGAUGAUGCCUAUCAACUGUUUAAAAGAUGGUUCUGCUAUCACUCUUGGAUGGACCUGCGGUGCAUUAGCUAGUUGGUAGGGUAACGGCCUACCAAGGCGAUGAUGCAUAGCCGAGUUGAGAGACUGAUCGGCCACAUUGGGACUGAGACACGGCCCAAACUCCUACGGGAGGCAGCAGAA
rnacentral:rRNA from 1 species